rnacentral:tRNA from 1 species
GGGCCGAGAUGAUGUUGGAGUUGUCGCCGCUGGAGACGGCGGCGAAGGCGUCCGCCCGUUCGAUGCCGGCCUGGCGCA